ensembl:lncRNA
AAAAAAAGAAAAGUGCACUAUAUAGGCAAGGGUGCAUAUGAUUUGGAACAGGCCUAAUCAUCAAUGCAUGAUGGGAAAAUUUAGGAAAGAUAAGUGAUACAUCCGCAUACAUGUGGCACAAGUUGUUACGUCGAACCGCGCGCGCUGAGUGACACUAAUUAAGUGUAUCACCUGUCCUGGCGUAAUUCUUUGGCACUCCUCUUUACGCACUGCGUUUUGGUUGUUGUUUCUUUCUUUCUUUUUUCUUUCUUAGACGUGGCGUCUGAUCUUUUUUUUUUUUGGUCGCGGUUAGAUUAUGAAAUCACGACAGUUCAGUCUGAAAUCCGACACUUUUUUAGGGAACACUUUUAAUUUCAGUACCUGGCAACGCUGUAGGGGCGGAAACUUCAUAACAGCGCCGAAAUACGCGACUCCAAGAAUACGCGCAACUAAAACCAACCCGAGCUGAACUCUCCGGCAGACCGAACAGAGCCCACAAACCCAAACCCAGGGAGAGUUUCCAUUACAAAAAGAAGAAAAAUGUAGUCUCCAUGCAUGGAUUGUAACUGUCCGAGUUGAGAGGACUUCAGCACGAAUCAUUCAGGCGUGUGAACAUGGACCAAAAAUGACAAAUGCUGCUGUGUACGAUAAUGAAAGCAAGCCAUACUGAGAUCAUCUCUAGAGCAUCUUCUUGGCACUUCUGUUUUGGUGUUUCUCCUCCUACCUCUCGUCUUCUCCUGCAAAAGCACCAAGAGUAAAGAGGAGAUCUCUCAGGAUUAUGAGUAUAUCAUUCAGAAGCAGCUGGAGCACAUUAACUUGAGUAUUCAGAGACAGGUGGAGUCCUGCGGGGAACGAAAGCUCGUGCUGCAGAAUUUAUUCCCGAUCGAGCGCAUCAGCACCGUGUCCUGCACCCGUUUACCGAGGAACAUAAGUGGUCAGCUGCACACUGAAUUACGGAACCUCGUGAGGGACAUAACGGUAUCGCUGGGAUGUCCCUGUUCUGCAAACCAGACCGAGCAGGCAGAGAGGUGGCCGGACUCCCAGCCUUUACAGAAGAAGUUUUGCCGACUGAAACGUUUGCUCAUGACGAUACAGAAAGCGUACGAACAAUACAACUCGGCUUAGUAAGUGUGGGCCACCGUGAGCGCCGAUUGAAAGAUGUUCUAAAUCUGAAAUAAUAAUAAUAAAAACAAUAGUAAUAAUAAAUAAAAUAUCGAAGCAUGGCUUCCUUACAAAGCUUUGCAUGGCACCUUGUAUAUGAGAGGACAUACACUCAUAACGAAGUGGCGAGUGAAACACGCCCGCUGCUUGGAGAGCAAAAAUCAGCCGGAUGCAGGAUCCAUCAUGAAUCGUACAACCAGCAGACAUGUCUCACGGACCAGUCGCCGUG